GUCAACCUUGCACUCCCAAUGGCUGUUUGUAAGCAGUUCAACUUUGAUCUAGUAUCCCAAGAUGGCCACCAUCUCUUCGAAAGGGGAAGUGCCUCAUGAAUGGUCCGUGGGGGAAGUGGAAACAAAGGAAAUCUGUUUUCAAUCGGCAGAUUAUGAAGAUACCCUCUUUUUCUUGCAGUUGCAGAAAAGUACUUCGAGUCAACAAACUCGGGCUCAAUCUCAUACAAAUGCCUCUUAAUGGUGUCCCACACACCCUUUGGAGCCAGGGCGACAUUUUCAUAAUAGAAAUAAGGCGGGCCAAUGAUUUUCUCGGGAAGAAUUCGUUGAACCAUUCUUGGAACUGAUUCGGUAGGAAUUCCAAAGCCAAUCAUCGGCUUGGGCAAUCGAAUUGGCUCUUCAACAGAAAUCUCCCUUUGCUUUUUCCGUUUGCACAAUUCAUUGUACAUUUUCCUCUUUUUGUAUCCACCACAAUCAUUCAAUAUAUCCUUCAGGUUUGGCUUCACAUCUUCUAGGAGAUAGGGAUCUUCCGCUCUUGACAUUUGAGCAGCACAAAUAAAAUCUACCAAUUCAGGGAGUGAUGCUUUUGGACCACAUCUAUCCAUUGCUAUGGAGGCCUCUUCCGCUGGAUAUCCCAUAUUUCCCAGGAACAAUAACAUCUUUUCUUUUUCAGACAAAGAACUUCCCUCGUCAUUCAAGUAGCACUGCUUAACAGUAUUUAUGUAGUUGUCUGAGUCAGAAGACCAACUAUCAUCCUCAUAAACAUUAUCCAAAACAAUCUUGUUGUAUUCAGAAGCGCUGUCAUCAGAACUAAUGGAGGGUUCCAGCGGAGGGCUAACACUGGGCUGUUCUUCAGGAGAGUCAUCAAGGGCCUUAAAAGUCAAAAGAGAAUCCAGCACCAAAUCUGAAUUUUCUCCGUUUUGCUCUAUUGCUUUUGCAAUAGAUUCUUCAGGAAAUCCCAUCACUACAAACUGCUGAAUGAACUUGGACCGGAAGGGUACUGAUGACGAGCUUGCCUCCACAUCGCAACAAACAACAUGCUGCCCAGUAGUUCUUAAAUCCGUGCAUGAGGAAAACACUGUGUCCUGUAUUUCUUGUAUUUCAAGUUCAUCUUCAGUAUCCCAGUCAAUGUCAUCAUUAUCUUCUCCAGAAAGAUUUUUGUCCAUUUCUCAAGGUAAGCCUGAAAAAGAACUCCAAUUUGUUCAGCAAGAAGAAUAAAUCAGCACCCUGAAAUUUUUCAGUGAUCAAUGCAACAAUCAAUUUUGAUCUAUAUCAGAUAUCCAUAGAUUUUAGAGAAAAUUGACGAAGAAGAGAUUCUUGUUUGGUUUUAAAGCAUAAGAGAGAUUCCCAUAUUUGGAGUUUUACG
rnacentral:misc_RNA from 1 species